GGUGCCUCACUCGGAGGUAGGGCCUCUUUCAAGAGAGGCUUUUGUCCGAUUUUACAAACAUUCGUUAUUUACAGAAAAGUGAAAUAUUUCGUUCGGAUGCCAAUGGUGUUUCGUUAAAUACUUUUUUUUUCAAAAAUGGUUUUUAAUACUCUCCAGAAGAGAAAAAGAAAUAAAAAACGCCCGACCAAAAUAAGAAUCUGAGGAGACGAAUAUCUCUACGUGGCACACCAGCUUCCAUAUUUUAUUCACUGUCCAUAUAAGAAAUACUCAGUUUUCGUGGCGGAUUGAUCAGAUCGUUGCUUUAUUCACAUUCAAGUUUUAUGUGGAGGAAAUUUUACACUGUCACCAUCAAUCAUGACUUGGCACCCUUGCCAGUUGCCAAUUCCUAACCUCCCACUUGAUCUACAGAACACAAAAUUGUAUUCUGAUUUCUGGCAAUUCAAGUGCAAAAAUUCGAUUGUACAGAACUGAAAAUUUCUCCCUUCUUUCCAAAUGAGUGCCGCUACUGCGACAUUCACUCCUGUAGCAUUUAGCAACAGCAAUUAUAAUAAUCCAAUAUGGAGAAAAAAACCAAAUUCACUACCAAAUCCAAUAUGCAAACUCUCCAACUAUUCUUUUGUUACAAAGGCAACUUCAUCAUCUUCAAAUCCGGAAAGUGACAAUGGAAAGAAAACGAAGAAGAAGAAAAAGAAGUUAGUAAUUGAAAACAAAGAGAAAAAAGUGCAAGAGCAAGAACCAGUUGCCCAGGAGCAAGAGCAACAGUUACAAUCUUCUUCAGUUUCUGUUAUAAAGAGAUUGGAUGAUGUUAAUCCAGUGGGAUUAGGAAGACGUUCUCGUCAAGUGUUUGAUGAAGUGUGGCGAAAGUUUUCGGGAUUGGGGCAGAUUUCGCGAACAAUACGUUCUGAUGAUGAGAGUAGUUUGCUUAUUAGAGAAGGUGGACCGAUGUGUGAAUUCGCUAUACCUGGUGCUCAAAAUACUACUGUGCUUGUUGUUGGUGCGACUAGCCGUGUUGGUAGAAUUGUUGUGCGUAAGCUCAUGCUUAGGGGCUACACUGUCAAGGCUCUAGUAAGGAAAGCUGAACCGGAAGUGGUUGACAUGCUACCAAGGUCUGUGGAGCUGGUGACAGGGGAUGUUGGUGAUCCUUCCAGUCUUAAAAAUGCAGUGCAAGGUUGCAACAAAAUCAUCUAUUGUGCCACUGCUCGGUCUUCAAUCACUGGGGAUCUCAUCAGAGUUGAUCAUCAAGGGGUGUACAAUCUCACCAAAGCCUUGCAGGACUACAACAAUAAGCUAGCACAGCAACGAGCUGGAAAGAGUAGCAAAAGCAAGCUUUUAAUUGCAAAAUUCAAGUCUGAAGAUUCCUUGAAUGGGUGGGAAGUCCGUCAAGGGACAUAUUUCCAAGAUGUGGUUGUUUCUAAGUAUGAUGGAGGAAUGGAUGCCAAGUUUGAGUUUACUGAAAGCGGAGAGGCUAUUUUUUCAGGGUAUGUUUUCACAAGAGGAGGCUAUGUGGACUUGUCAAGAAAACUCUCACUCCCUUUGGGUUACACUCUUGACAGGUAUGAGGGUCUAGUAUUCUCUGUUGGUGGAAAUGGGAGAUCUUAUGUUGUAAUUCUUGAAGCUGGUCCCUCAGCAGACACAACACAAAGCAAACUGUAUUUUGCCAGAGUUAGCACAAAAGCAGGAUUUUGCAGGGUGAGAGUUCCAUUUUCUUCCUUUCGGCCAGUGAUGCCAGAUGAUCCGCCAUUGGAUCCGUUCCUUGUGCAUACCUUGACCAUUCGCUUUGAGCCUAGAAGACAGAGGCCAAUUGAAGGACCUACCGGGAUGAACCAAGAUUUGAGAAGCUUUCAACUAAUUAUGGAAUAUAUUAAGGCUUUGCCUGCUGGGCAAGAGACUGACUUUGUCUUAGUAUCAUGUACGGGGUCAGGAAUAGAGCCUACCAGACGGGAGCAAGUUUUGCGAGCAAAGAGGGCUGGUGAAGAUUCAUUAAGAAGGUCCGGCCUCGGAUACACAAUAAUUCGUCCAGGUCCAUUGAUGGAAGAACCAGGUGGUCAACGUGCCCUCAUAUUUGAUCAAGGAAAUCGCAUCUCUCAGGGAAUCAGUUGUGCUGAUGUGGCUGACAUUUGUGUGAAGGCAUUGCAUGAUUUGACAGCCAGAAACAAGAGCUUUGAUGUAUGUUAUGAAUAUGUCGCUGAGCCUGGAAAGGAGCUGUACGAGUUGGUGGCACAUUUACCUGACAAAGCAAACAACUACUUGACACCAGCACUCUCGGUACUGGAGAAAAAUACAUGAUCGUGCCUCCCAAGUUCAAGUUACAAUCUUGGUGCAAUCUCCAACAGAAGAAAAUGGAAGGAACCAAUGUCUUCAGCUUAAUUUUCCACCAAGGGGAGACAGAGAGAGAGAGAGAGAGACCAGGAUGAUCGCCACGUAUUUAUAUGUAAUUAAUAAUCAUGUUAGUUGGACUGCAAUUUUCCAAUUAUCGGAUAGCCCAAUCUAGGCCCUGUCAGAGCAGGCUGCAAAAAACUUGAGUGCACCCGUGUUCACAUCAAAUUAAUAGUUGCAUAUGAACCUUUAUAACUUAAGAAAGGUUGAGUGAUAUCUAUUUAACUCUGAGAUUACACUGCUUA